rnacentral:misc_RNA from 1 species
CCAAUAGCGUAUAUUAAAGUUGUUGCAGUUAAAAAGCUCGUAGUUGAAUUUCGGGAUCAAUAUAUCGGUCGUGCCAUUGGUACGUACUGGUAUCAUUGGUUUCUCCUUUCUGACGAACCAUGAUGUCAUUAAUUUGGUGUUAUGGGAAGUUAGGACUGUUACUUUGAAAAAAUUAGAGUGUUUAAAGCAGGCUUUAGCUUGAAUACAUUAGCAUGGAAUAAUGAAAUAGGACGUUCGAACCUAUUUUGUUGGUUUCUAGGAUCAACGUAAUGAUUAAUAGGGAUAGUUGGGGGCAUUAGUAUUCAAUUGUCAGAGGUGAAAUUCUUGGAUUUAUUGAAGACUAACUACUGCGAAAGCAUUUGCCAAGGAUGUUUUCAUUAAUCAAGAACGAAAGUUAGGGGAUCGAAGACGAUCAGAUACCGUCGUAGUCUUAACCAUAAACUAUGCCGACUAGGGAUCGGAUGAUGUUAAUUUUUUAAUGACUCAUUCGGCGCCUUCCG